UGAGGAAUAUUGGUCAAUGGACGAGAGUCUGAACCAGCCAAGUAGCGUGAAGGAUGACUGCCCUAUGGGUUGUAAACUUCUUUUAUACGGGAAUAAAGUGAGGUACGUGUGCCUUUUUGUAUGUACCGUAUGAAUAAGGAUCGGCUAACUCCGUGCCAGCAGCCGCGGUAAUACGGAGGAUCCGAGCGUUAUCCGGAUUUAUUGGGUUUAAAGGGAGCGUAGGCGGACGCUUAAGUCAGUUGUGAAAGUUUGCGGCUCAACCGUAAAAUUGCAGUUGAUACUGGGUGUCUUGAGUACAGUAGAGGCAGGCGGAAUUCGUGGUGUAGCGGUGAAAUGCUUAGAUAUCACGAAGAACUCCGAUUGCGAAGGCAGCCUGCUGGACUGUAACUGACGCUGAUGCUCGAAAGUGUGGGUAUCAAACAGGAUUAGAUACCCUGGUAGUCCACACAGUAAACGAUGAAUACUCGCUGUUUGCGAUAUACAGUAAGCGGCCAAGCGAAAGCGUUAAGUAUUCCACCUGGGGAGUACGCCGGCAACGGUGAAACUCAAAGGAAUUGACGGGGGCCCGCACAAGCGGAGGAACAUGUGGUUUAAUUCGAUGAUACGCGAGGAACCUUACCCGGGCUUGAAUUGCAACUGAAUGAUGUAGAGACAUGUCAGCCGCAAGGCAGUUGUGAAGGUGCUGCAUGGUUGUCGUCAGCUCGUGCCGUGAGGUGUCGGCUUAAGUGCCAUAACGAGCGCAACCCUUAUCGAUAGUUACCAUCAGGUUAUGCUGGGGACUCUGUCGAGACUGCCGUCGUAAGAUGUGAGGAAGGUGGGGAUGACGUCAAAUCAGCACGGCCCUUACGUCCGGGGCUACACACGUGUUACAAUGGGGGGUACAGAAGGCAGCUACACGGCGACGUGAUGCUAAUCCCGAAAGCCUCUCUCAGUUCGGAUUGGAGUCUGCAACCCGACUCCAUGAAGCUGGAUUCGCUAGUAAUCGCGCAUCAGCCACGGCGCGGUGAAUACGUUCCC
rnacentral:rRNA from 2 species